rnacentral:lncRNA from 1 species
CUGUGAAAAUAUCUUUAAGUACUCAAGAAGAACUAAGUAUUUGUUCUUAAUUUAUAGAAGGAUCAAAGCUAGGAGUGAAAGGAUAUAUCAAUUCAGAUUUUAUGUCUUUCAUUGAUGGUAAAAUAUCUACAUCAUAGGGUGUAUUCUUGUAUCGAUAUUUUAGAAGGGUUCCAAAUAAUCAAUCGAUGGAAGCUGAGUGCACUAUAGAUG